rnacentral:tRNA from 1 species
GUCCCCAUAGCUCAACUGGAUAGAGCGACGGACUUCGGAUCCGUAGGUUGGAGGUUCGACUCCUCCUGGGGACA